rnacentral:rRNA from 1 species
CUACGGGGGGCUCCAGUGGGGAAUAUUGGACAAUGGGCGAAAGCCUGAUCCAGCGACGUCGCGUGAGUGAAGAAGGCCUUAGGGUUGUAAAGCUCUUUCAGUAGGAAAGAUAAUGACGGUACCUACAGAAGAAGCUCCGGCUAACUUCGUGCCAGCAGCCGCGGUAAUACGAAGGGAGCUAGCGUUGCUCGGAAUUAUUGGGCGUAAAGCGUGCGCAGGCGGCUUUAUAAGUUGGAAGUGAAAGCCUCAAGCUUAACUUGAGAAUUGCUUCCAAAACUAUAUAGCUUGAGUAUCAGAGGGGAUAGUGGAAUUUCUAGUGUAGAGGUGAAAUUCGUAGAUAUUAGAAAGAACACCGGAAGCGAAGGCGGCUAUCUGGCUGAAUACUGACGCUGUUGCACGAAGGCGUGGGGAGCAAACAGGAUUAGAUACCCCCGUAGUC